rfam:Picea glauca, whole genome shotgun sequence.
GUCAACAUGUCUGAGUGGUGAAGGACAAACUCGAAAUCUGUUGGGCUUUGCCUGCGUAGGUUCGAAUCCUCCUGUUGACG